AUUGAACGCUGGCGGCAGGCCUAACACAUGCAAGUCGAGCGGAUCGGGGGACGCGUGAGUGAUACCUAGGGAUCUGCCUGGUAGUGGGGGAUCACGUCCGGUAACGGGCGCUACUACUGCUUACUAUCAGAUGAGCCUCGGUGGGAUUAGCUAGUUGGUGGGGGAAAGGCCUACCAAGGGGACGAUCCGUAUCUGGUCUGAGAGGAUGAUCAGUCACACUGGAACGGAGACACGGUCCAGACUCCUAAGGGAGGCAGGAGUGGGGAAUAUUGGACAAUGGGCGAAAGCCUGAUCCAGCCAUGCCGCGUGUGUGAAGAAGGUCUUCGGAUUGUAAAGCACUUUAAGUUUGGAGGCGUUACCAACAGAAUAAGCACCGGCUAACUCCGUGCCAGCAGCCGCGGUAAUAC
rnacentral:rRNA from 1 species